rnacentral:rRNA from 1 species
CGUGAAGCUCAGCUUCGCUGGGGUCGGAUCAGUGGCGAACGGGUGAGUAACACGUGAGCAACCUGCCCCCUACUUCGGGAUAAGCCUUGGAAACGGGGUCUAAUACCGGAUAUGAACACUUGCCGCAUGGUGGGUGUUGGAAAGUUUUUCGGUGGGGGAUGGGCUCGCGGCCUAUCAGCUUGUUGGUGGGGUAAUGGCCUACCAAGGCGUCGACGGGUAGCCGGCCUGAGAGGGCGACCGGCCACACUGGGACUGAGACACGGCCCAGACUCCUACGGGAGGCAGCAGUGGGGAAUAUUGCACAAUGGGCGAAAGCCUGAUGCAGCGACGCCACGUGAGGGAUGACGGCCUUCGGGUUGUAAACCUCUUUCAGCAGGGAAGAAGCGCAAGUGACGGUACCUGCAGAAGAAGCGCCGGCUAACUACGUGCCAGCAGCCGCGGUAAUACGUAGGGCGCAAGCGUUGUCCGGAAUUAUUGGGCGUAAAGAGCUCGUAGGCGGUCUGUCGCGUCUGGUGUGAAAUCCCAUGGCUCAACUGUGGGCUUGCAUCGGGUACGGGCAGACUAGAGUGCUGUAGGGGAGACUGGAAUUCCUGGUGUAGCGGUGGAAUGCGCAGAUAUCAGGAGGAACACCGAUGGCGAAGGCAGGUCUCUGGGCAGUUACUGACGCUGAGGAGCGAAAGCAUGGGGAGCGAACAGGAUUAGAUACCCUGGUAGUCCAUGCCGUAAACGUUGGGCACUAGGUGUGGGGCCAGUUCCACUGGUUCUGUGCCGCAGCUAACGCAUUAAGUGCCCCGCCUGGGGAGUACGGCCGCAAGGCUAAAACUCAAAGGAAUUGACGGGGGCCCGCACAAGCGGCGGAGCAUGCGGAUUAAUUCGAUGCAACGCGAAGAACCUUACCAAGGCUUGACAUGUACGAGAACGCCCCAGAGAUGGGGUUCUCUUUGGACACUCGUACACAGGUGGUGCAUGGUUGUCGUCAGCUCGUGUCGUGAGAUGUUGGGUUAAGUCCCGCAACGAGCGCAACCCUUAUCCUAUGUUGCCAGCGGGUUAUGCCGGGGACUCAUGGGAGACUGCCGGGGUCAACUCGGAGGAAGGUGGGGAUGACGUCAAAUCAUCAUGCCCCUUAUGUCUUGGGCUUCACGCAUGCUACAAUGGCCGGUACAGAGGGCUGCGAUACCGUGAGGUGGAGCGAAUCCCAAAAAGCCGGUCUCAGUUCGGAUCGGGGUCUGCAACUCGACCCCGUGAAGUCGGAGUCGCUAGUAAUCGCAGAUCAGCAACGCUGCGGUGAAUACGUUCCCGGGCCUUGUACACACCGCCCGUCAAGUCACGAAAGUUGGUAACACCCGAAGCUCACGGCCCUAACCCCAUCA